GACGAACGCUGGCGGCGUGCUUAACACAUGCAAGUCGAGCGGUAAGGCCCUUUCGGGGGUACACGAGCGGCGAACGGGUGAGUAACACGUGGGUGACCUGCCCUCAGCUCUGGGAUAAGCCUGGGAAACUGGGUCUAAUACUGGAUAUGACUCCACGGUGCAUGUCGUGGGGUGGAAAGCCUUGUGCGGCUGAGGAUGGGCCCGCGGCCUAUCAGCUUGUUGGUGGGGNGAUGGCCUACCAAGGCGACGACGGGUAGCCGGCCUGAGAGGGCGACCGGGCCACACUGGGACUGAGACACGGCCCAGACUCCUACGGGAGGCAGCAGUGGGGAAUCUUGCGCAAUGGGCGAAAGCCUGACGCAGCGACGCCGCGUGAGGGAUGACGGCCUGGU
rnacentral:rRNA from 1 species